AUGGCUAGUAAUUGGAGUUUCAGACAAUUUGGGGAGGUAAUUUGUAGCCAAUAUCCUUGGGGUUUGCUUGAUGAAGUGGUAUACAAAUACUAUGAUGGGGAAAAGAAUUGGGUGACAGUUAGUAAUGAUGAAGAGCUAGCUACCAUGUUUGUUAGGCAUAAAGAGAAAGAUAAUUUUCAUGUGAGGCUGCAAGUUGAUGUGCUUGAGCAGGCAUUUGGACCUAGGAUGGCGGGUGCAACAUCUCGGGGAGAACCAAGUCGUUGUAAUGGCAUCUCUAGCCAGAACAGUUCAGUUGGUGCACGGCGACGUGGUGGCUCGACAAGUGUGGGCAACAGCAGUAGGGUCCCCCUUGAAGUGGAGCCUGAUGGCUACAAUUCUGGGGUUGAUGAAGAGAAGCUAUAUUAUGAUAUUAUUCAGAAUUUACGACGGGCAUCUCGGACUGAAAACCAAGAUGAGGCUCACAAUGCAGUCCGUGUGGAUGAUGACGCGAUGGGUGAGGACGAAGACCUUGCAGCUGUUGAAUGGGACCCUUUGAACCCUCAUAUGAAAGAAGGUACAAUUUUUGCAUCCAUGAAUGAGUGUAGAAAUGCACUUGUGACAUACUGCAUCAAGGUAGAACGUACUUUCAAAGUUGACAAGAGCGAUCAAGUACGUUACAGAGUGCACUGUCCGACUGAGGGUUGUCCAUGGAGGCUGCUUGCAUCUAAAAUGCGGAAUAGCACUAAUGUUCAGGUCAAAGAGAACCCUUUUAAGCACACAUGCCAGGAAUCAACCCUUAGGAAGGAUACAAUCAGUAGAGCCAAGUCAAGAUGGGUGGCAGAAGAAGUAAAGAAGUGGGUGAAAGAAAACCAGCAAGUGGGUCCAAAGGAAUUGCAGAAGAACAUCAAAGAUAAGUUCAAGAUAGAUUUACCAUACAUGAGGUUGUUCAAUGGUAAAUAA
rnacentral:rRNA from 1 species